GACGAACGCUGGCGGCGUGCCUAACACAUGCAAGCCGAACGGGGUAAUCCUUCGGGGUUACUUAGUGGCGAACGGGUGAGUAACGCGUGAGAAACCUGCCUUUCAGUGGGGGACAACAGUUGGAAACGACUGCUAAUACCGCAUAAUGUUAUUUGAGGGCAUCCUUGAAUAACCAAAGCUUUAUGUGCUGAAAGAUGGUCUCGCGUCUGAUUAGCUAGAUGGCGGGGUAACGGCCCACCAUGGCGACGAUCAGUAGCCGGUCUGAGAGGAUGAACGGCCACAUUGGGACUGAGAUACGGCCCAGACUCCUACGGGAGGCAGCAGUGGGGAAUAUUGGGCAAUGGGGGAAACCCUGACCCAGCAACGCCGCGUGAAGGAAGAAGGCCUUCGGGUUGUAAACUUCUUUUACCAGGGACGAAGAACGUGACGGUACCUGGAGAAAAAGCAACGGCUAACUACGUGCCAGCAGCCGCCGUAAGAC
rnacentral:rRNA from 1 species